rnacentral:rRNA from 1 species
GAUGAACGCUGGCGGCGUGCCUAAUACAUGUAAGUCGCGCGAACGGACGAGAAGCUUGCUUUUCUGAUGUUAGCGGCGGACGGGUGAGUAACACGUGGAUAACCUACCUAUAAGCCUGGGAUAACUUCGGGCAACCGGAGCUAAUACCGGAUCAUAUUUUGAACCGCAUGGUUCAAUAGUGAAAGACGGUCUUGCUGUCACUUCUGUAUGGAUCCGCGAUGCAUUAGCUAGUUGGUAAGGUAACGGCUUUCCAAGGCAACGAUGCAUAGCCGACCUGAGAGGGUGAUCGGCCACACUGGCACUCAGACCCGGUCCAGACUCCUACGGGAGUCAGCAGUAGGGAAUCUUCCGCAAAGGGCGAAAGCCUGACGGAGCAACGCCGCGUGAGUGAUGAAGGUCUGCGGAUCGUAAAACUCUGUUAUUAGGGAAGAACAUAUGUGUAAGUAACUGUGCACAUCUUGACGGUACCUAAUCAGAAAGCCACGGCUAACUACGUG